GGACUACAGGGGUAUCUAAUCCCGUUCGCUCCCCUGGCUUUCGCACAUGAGCGUCAGUAACAAUCCAGGACGCUGCCUUCGCCUUUGGUGUUCUUCCAGAUCUCUACGCAUUUCACCGCUCCACCUGGAAUUCCGCGUCCCUCUUUUGCCCUCAAGUCUUCCCGUUUUCCAAGGCCUGUGUUAGUUGAGCCAACACCUGUCACUCGAAACGUGAAAGACCGCCUGCGUGCGCUUUACGCCCAAUAAAUCCGGACAACGCUUGCCCCCUACGUAUUACCGCGGCUGCUGGCAC
rnacentral:rRNA from 1 species